rfam:Roseburia sp. 831b contig000006, whole genome shotgun sequence.
CGGAUAGUAUUCGGAAAGAAACUAUACCGUAGUCUUUUUUUGAUGAAAACACCAUAUGCAGCAAGCUUAUAUCCAGUAGGAAUAAGACUUUAUA